rnacentral:rRNA from 1 species
UGCCAGACUCCUACGGGAGGCAGCAGUGGGGAAUAUUGCACAAUGGGGGAAACCCUGAUGCAGCGACGCCGCGUGAGUGAAGAAGUAUCUCGGUAUGUAAAGCUCUAUCAGCAGGGAAGAAAAUGACGGUACCUGACUAAGAAGCCCCGGCUAACUACGUGCCAGCAGCCGCGGUAAUACGUAGGGGGCAAGCGUUAUCCGGAUUUACUGGGUGUAAAGGGAGCGUAGACGGCGAUGCAAGCCAGAUGUGAAAGCCCGGGGCUCAACCCCGGGACUGCAUUUGGAACUGUGUGGCUGGAGUGUCGGAGAGGCAGGCGGAAUUCCUAGUGUAGCGGUGAAAUGCGUAGAUAUUAGGAGGAACACCAGUGGCGAAGGCGGCCUGCUGGACGAUGACUGACGUUGAGGCUCGAAAGCGUGGGGAGCAAACAGGAUUAGAUACCCCGGUAA